UACAGAGGGGGCAAGCGUUAUUCGGAAUUAUUGGGCGUAAAGGGCGCGUAGGCGGCUUGGCAAGUGGAAGGUGAAAUCCCUCGGCUUAACCGAGGAACUGCCUUCCAGACUGCUUUGCUUGAGGCCGGGAGAGGUGAGUGGAAUUCCCAGUGUAGCGGUGAAAUGCGUAGAUAUUGGGAGGAACACCAGUGGCGAAGGCGGCUCACUGGACCGGUUCUGACGCUGAGGCGCGAAAGCGUGGGGAGCAGACGGG
rnacentral:rRNA from 1 species